AUUCCAGCUCCAAUAGCGUAUAUUAAAGUUGUUGCAGUUAAAGAGCUCGUAGUUGAAUUUCUGUACAGUCCCGGUUCUGGCUUCGGUCAAGCCGUGGAUUGUGCAUCCGCUUGCAAAUCUAGCUCGGCCUUCACUGGUCGACUAGGGGAGUAAGCCCUUUACUUUGAAAAAAUUAGAGUGUUUCAGGCAGGCAAUGGCUCGAAUACAUUAGCAUGGAAUAAUGGAAUAGGACUUAUGUCCAUUUGGUUGGUUAUUGGACAUGAGUAAUGGUUAAAAGGGACAGUUGGGGGCAUUAGUAUUUAAUAGUCAGAGGUGAAAUUCUUGGAUUUGUUAAAGACGGACUACUGCGAAAGCAUUUGCCAAGGAUGUUUUCAUCA
rnacentral:rRNA from 1 species